AGAGUUUGAUCCUGGCUCAGGACGAACGCUGGCGGUGCGCCUAACACAUGCAAGUCGAACGGUGAACCGGGCUUCGGCCCGGGGAUCAGUGGCGAACGGGUGCGUAACACGUGGGCAACCUGCCCCCGACCCUGGGAUAACCCCGGGAAACCGAGCUAAUACCGGAUACUCUCCUCCGACCACAUGGUCGGGUGAGGAAAGGUCCGCCGGUCGGGGAUGGGCCCGCGGCCUAUCAGCUUGUUGGUGGGGUAACGGCCCACCAAGGCGACGACGGGUAGCUGGUCUGAGAGGAUGGCCAGCCACAUUGGGACUGAGAGACGGCCCAGACUCCUACGGGAGGCAGCAGUGGGGAAUCUUGCGCAAUGGCCGAAAGGCUGACGCAGCGACGCCGCGUGUGGGAGGAAGCCCUUCGGGGUGUAAACCACUGUUGGCCGGGACGAAUAGCCCUUAAUGGGGCCUGACGGUACCGGGUGAGGAAGCACCGGCUAACUCCGUGCCAGCAGCCGCGGUAAUACGGAGGGUGCGAGCGUUGUCCGGAAUCACUGGGCGUAAAGGGCGCGUAGGUGGCUUGGCAAGCGUGUGGUGAAAGCCCGGGGCUCAACCCCGGGUCUGCCGUGCGAACUGCUAUGGCUUGAGCACUGUAGAGGCAGGUAGAAUUCCGGGUGUAGCGGUGGAAUGCGUAGAGAUCCGGAAGAAUACCGGUGGCGAAGGCGGCCUGCUGGGCAGUGGCUGACACUGAGGCGCGACAGCGUGGGGAGCAAACAGGAUUAGAUACCCUGGUAGUCCACGCCGUAAACGAUGGGCACUAGGUCCUUGGGGGAGCGACCCCUUGAGGGCCGGCGCAAACGCAUUAAGUGCCCCGCCUGGGGAGUACGGCCGCAAGGCUGAAACUCAAAGGAAUUGACGG
rnacentral:rRNA from 1 species